rnacentral:misc_RNA from 1 species
CCGAACCGCUGACACGAGCUGUUGCUGGUCUCCAAACGGGGGCAUGUGCACGCUCUGUUUGUGCAUCCACUCACACCUGUGCACCUUCUGUAGUUCUGUGGCCUGGGGGACUUGUCCUCCUGCCGUGGUUCUGCGUCUUUACACUCACGCUGUGACAAAGUCUAAUGGAAUGCAUGCCGCGUUUAACGCAAUACAAUA